GAGAGGAACAAUUCUGAGUCUUAACC
rnacentral:piRNA from 1 species